rnacentral:rRNA from 1 species
ACUACGGGAGGCAGCAGUGGGGAAUAUUGGGCAAUGGGCGCAAGCCUGACCCAGCAACGCCGCGUGAAGGAAGAAGGCUUUCGGGUUGUAAACUUCUUUUCUCAGGGACGAAGAAAGUGACGGUACCUGAGGAAUAAGCCACGGCUAACUACGUGCCAGCAGCCGCGGUAAUACGUAGGUGGCAAGCGUUAUCCGGAUUUAUUGGGUGUAAAGGGCGUGUAGGCGGGAGCGCAAGUCAGAUGUGAAAACUCAGGGCUCAACCCUGAGCCUGCAUUUGAAACUGUGUUUCUUGAGUGCUGGAGAGGCAAUCGGAAUUCCGUGGGUAGCGGUGAAAUGCGUAGAUAUACGGAGGAACACCAGUGGCGAAGGCGGAUUGCUGGACAGUAACUGACGCUGAGGCGCGAAAGCGUGGGGAGCAAACAGGAUUAGAUACCCGUGUAGUC